AUUGAACGCUGGCGGCAUGCCUUACACAUGCAAGUCGAACGGCAGCACGGGAGCAAUCCUGGUGGCGAGUGGCGAACGGGUGAGUAAUAUAUCGGAACGUGCCCAGUCGUGGGGGAUAACUGCUCGAAAGAGCAGCUAAUACCGCAUACGACAUGAGGGUGAAAGGGGGGGAUCGCAGGACCUCUCGCUAUUGGAACGGCCGAUAUCAGAUUAGCUAGUUGGAGGGGUAAAGGCCUACCAAGGCAACGAUCUGUAGUUGGACUGAGAGGACGACCAGCCACACUGGGACUGAGACACGGCCCAGACUCCUACGGGAGGCAGCAGUGGGGAAUUUUGGACAAUGGGCGCAAGCCUGAUCCAGCAAUGCCGCGUGCAGGAAGAAGGCCUUCGGGUUGUAAACUGCUUUUGUCAGGGAAGAAAUCCUCUAGGUUAAUACCCUUGGGGGGAUGACGGUACCUGAAGAAUAAGCACCGGCUAACUACGUGCCAGCAGCCGCGGUAAUAC
rnacentral:rRNA from 1 species